UGAGGAAUAUUGGUCAAUGGGCGGGAGCCUGAACCAGCCAAGUCGCGUGAGGGACGAAGGCCCUACGGGUUGUAAACCUCUUUUAUAAGGGAAUAAAGGGCGCCACGUGUGGCGCAUUGCAUGUACCUUAUGAAUAAGCAUCGGCUAACUCCGUGCCAGCAGCCGCGGUAAUACGGAGGAUGCGAGCGUUAUCCGGAUUCAUUGGGUUUAAAGGGUGCGUAGGUGGCUUGUUAAGUCAGCGGUGAAAGUCAGUGGCUCAACCAUUGAAUUGCCGUUGAAACUGGCGAGCUUGAGUACGUACGGGGCAGGCGGAAUGGCGUGGUGUAGCGGUGGAAAUGCAUAGA
rnacentral:rRNA from 1 species